rnacentral:rRNA from 1 species
AUUGAACGCUGGCGGCAGGCCUAACACAUGCAAGUCGAACGAGUGGCGGACGGGUGAGUAAUGUCUGGGAACCUGCCCGAUGGAGGGGGCUAACUACUGGAAACGUUAGCUAAUACCGCAUACCAUCGGAUUUGCCCAGAUGGGAUUAGCUAGUAGGUGGGGUAACGGCUCACCUAGGCGACGAUCCCUAGCUGGUCUGAGAGGAUGACCAGCAAAACUGGAACUGAGAAACGGGCCAGACGACUAAGGGAGGCAGCAGGGGGGAAUAUUGCACAAUGGGCGCAAGCCUGAUGCAGCAAUGCGGCGUGUAUGAAGAAGGCCUUCGGGUUGGAAAGUACUUUCAGCGAGGAGGCGUUACUCGCAGAAGAAGCACCGGCUAACUCCGUGCCAGCAGCCGCGGUAAUAC